AUGAUCCCCUUUUCACUCCAUAUCUCUCUCCCUUUCCGAAACUUCAUAUCUUACCUAUUUGUUGCAGUUCAUUGAACCUAGUCACAGUUAACCAAGCUUUCACCCUCUUUUUGUCCCUACCUCCCUAUUGCUUCCUUUCUUUUACUUUUUCAUUCCUUUUUUCAUCUAUAUUCUGUCCUUUUGCAAAACAUCCACCACUCUUUUCUUUUAGUCUUUGCUUUUCCUCAACCACAACCGACCAUAGCACCACCCUCAUAAAACC
rnacentral:lncRNA from 1 species